CUCCUCGUGAAUGGUUUCAACUCCCUCAUGUGGUUGUUUUGGGUUGUUACACCAUCAUACAUCAGCCCCAAAGCAGACCUAACUUGUGUCAUCUCUUUUAACAGCCUCAUGUGGCCCCCACCCAAGGUCCGAAACGCCUCCAUCUUUGGAAAAGUUCGACAAAGAUACGAGACCAAUGCAGUUGUGCGUUAUCACUGUGCCAAGGGUUUCCAGCAGAGACUAAAUCCUCUGAUCAGAUGUCUGUCUGCAGGAAGGUGGGAGAGGCCCCAGGUCCUGUGCAUCCCUGAGGCCGGAAGUCCAAUUCAACACCCUGAAGUGAUGACACUGACCAGCAGCAACUCUACUGCCAUUGAAGAUGAGUUUGAAGCCACUAAAGAGACACCACAGUACUGGGACAUCAAGUUUUAAAAGUCAGCCAUGCUUUCCUUCCUUGUCUUCCUUUCCUAAAUUCUGCUGUUGUAACAUAACAAGGUGCCAAGAAUCAAAUCCUUUUUACCAAUGAAUGCUCAAACAGGACAAAAUGAACCACAGACGCAGAAAGACACAAACUGAAGCUUUCUUUCAGCCAAGAAGCCUGAAUGCACAGACAGGCUUUGUUUUCUUUUAAUGGAGUUAAACAUUCCUACUUUUUGAUGACAUUUAGCAUAUUUUCUACUGUAUUUUGUUUUAUCAUUCUGACUAGCAGAGCGCAAAAUAGGUUAAAGUAGAAAGAAAGAAGAAAUACAGUAAACUCCUAAUUAUUGUCAGCUCCAAAUCUACAGAAGGAACUGCUCUCUUUGUGGUGUUUGUUAUAUCAGGAACCUUUUUAUAAAAUGGUGCUAAUGUCUUUAAAAACCUUUGUCUCCAACCAAGAUUUUUGUUUUCCCUGCUUUGUCAAAUAAUCUAACGACUCCAAAGCACAAAGUCAAUCUUAACAAAUAGUCAAUAAGUACUGUACAUAUAUUCGUUUUCACACCUGUUAUUAUUGCUGUCUACAUUCUUGAUGAGGGAAACCUUUUAUUUCCAGCAGACGCAGUUUUGUUCGUCAGCUUUAUGUUGUAAUAAAGUUUUGUAGAACAGAGCAAAGAAUAAAUCGUUCUCUAAUGUUAC
rnacentral:lncRNA from 1 species